CACGUAGGGGCCAAGCGUUGUCCGGAUUUAUUGGGCGUAAAGAGCUCGUAGGCGGCUCGGUAAGUCGGGUGUGAAACCUCCAGGCUCAACCUGGAGACGCCACCUGAUACUGCUGUGGCUAGAGUCCGGUAGGGGAGCGUGGAAUUCCUGGUGUAGCGGUGAAAUGCGCAGAUAUCAGGAGGAACACCAGCGGCGAAGGCGGCGCUCUGGGCCGGGAACUGACGCUGAGGAGCGAAAGCGUGGGUAGCAAACAGG
rnacentral:rRNA from 1 species